UCAUACUAAACAUUUUAUAUUAAUUAUAUAAAUGAUCAUACUGAAUAUGUGAUAUGCAAUCAAAAGGAGAAGAUGGCCGACCUCAGCCAUGAAUACCUGGUCUUCUCAAGGAAUCAUACUGCAGUGAUGCUGCAUGCUGCAUGACAGGAGUGCUGUAGGAUGAGGACCAGGAGUGCUGCUCAGGGCAUGAUGGUGACCGAUGAUGUUACAGAGAGAGCUAUCAAGGAAAAUGCGGACACGGGGGAACCACCUAGGAUAGCAUCCACUCAACUAGCAGAGGAACCUGGCACAAGUGCUCAAACAGCAGAAUUGUACUCUGCUACAGGAUCCACACAUCCAGAAUCAGCAGAAAACUGUACUAGGCAUUGCAGAUCAAAAGGAGGAGAUGGCCGACCUCAGCCAUGAAUACCUGGUCUUCUCAGCAUCAAGCAUUCAGAGAAAGAAUACAGCAGAACCAAAACCAAUGGAUGGAGGCCCAGCUGGCUCUGAGUAUUGACAGAGAGCAGGGGAUGAUAAACGGCAUCUUAGAAGUAAUGGUUGUACUACUGAGUGUGUGGUGUUGGUUCUGAUGCAGGGUCUCCAAGCUCUUCAGCCCCAGUUUCCCUGCCCCCUGCAACCCACACAUUCCCACACUAUCUAGCCCAGCAACAGGAACCAUCUUGCACUUGAGGAGGAAUACAGAUACCAACAACUGUAGUGUGGAUUAUUUAUGCACAGCUAAUCGCAUUUGUUAAAUGAAGCACGCUUCAAUGCAAAAAGUUCUGUUAAGUUUAUUUUAAG